UACGAAGGGGGCUAGCGUUGCUCGGAAUCACUGGGCGUAAAGCGCACGUAGGCGGAUUGUUAAGUCAGGGGUGAAAUCCUGGAGCUCAACUCCAGAACUGCCUUUGAUACUGGCGAUCUCGAGUCCGGGAGAGGUGAGUGGAACUGCGAGUGUAGAGGUGAAAUUCGUAGAUAUUCGCAAGAACACCAGUGGCGAAGGCGGCUCACUGGUCCGGUACUGACGCUGAGGUGCGAAAGCGUGGGGAGCAAACAGGG
rnacentral:rRNA from 1 species